rnacentral:rRNA from 1 species
UACGUAGGUGGCAAGCGUUUGUCCGGAAUUAUUGGGCGUAAAGCGCGCGCAGGCGGUCCUUUAAGUCUGAUGUGAAAGCCCACGGCUCAACCGUGGAGGGUCAUUGGAAACUGGAGGACUUGAGUACAGAAGAGGAAAGCGGAAUUCCACGUGUAGCGGUGAAAUGCGUAGAGAUGUGGAGGAACACCAGUGGCGAAGGCGGCUUUCUGGUCUGUAACUGACGCUGAGGCGCGAAAGCGUGGGGAGCAAACAGG